CCAAUAGCGUAUAUUAAAGUUGUUGCAGUUAAAAAGCUCGUAGUUGAAUUUCGGGAUCAAUAUAUCGGUCGUGCCUUGGUACGUACUGGUAUCAUUGGUUUCUCCUUCCUGACGAACCAUGAUGUCAUUAAUUUGGUGUUAUGGGAAGUUAGGACUGUUACUUUGAAAAAAUUAGAGUGUUUAAAGCAGGCGCACGCUUGAAUACAUUAGCAUGGAAUAAUGAAAUAGGACGUUUGAUUCUAUUUUGUUGGUUUCUAGGAUCGACGUAAUGAUUAAUAGGGAUAGUUGGGGGCAUUAGUAUUCAAUUGUCAGAGGUGAAAUUCUUGGAUUUAUUGAAGACUAACUACUGCGAAAGCAUUUGCCAAGGAUGUUUUCAUUAAUCAAGAACGAAAGUUAGGGGAUCGAAGACGUUCAGAUACCGUCGUAGUCUUAACCAUAAACUAUGCCGACUAGGGAUCGGAUGAUGUUAAUUUUAUAAUGACUCAUUCGGCGCCUUACG
rnacentral:rRNA from 1 species